rnacentral:rRNA from 1 species
UACGGGGGGGGGCUAGCGUUGUUCGGAAUUACUGGGCGUAAAGGGCGCGUAGGCGGCCUACUAAGUCGGACGUGAAAUCCCUCGGCUCAACCGGGGAACUGCGUCCGAUACUGGUGGGCUCGAAUCCGGGAGAGGGAUGUGGAAUUCCAGGUGUAGCGGUGAAAUGCGCAGAUAUCAGGAAGAACACCCGUGGCGAAAGCGGCUCUCUGGAACGGUACUGACGCUGAGACGCGA